rnacentral:lncRNA from 1 species
AGAGGCCUUGAGGCCUGGAACACAACAGAAUGAGGAAGAUGAACCAGGUUAGUGCCCCUGGCCAUGACAACCCGGCCAUGGAAAUGAAGAUGACUGAUGGAAUGGUCAACCAGUCUGAAUGGCAGCCAGUUGUUGGAAUUCAGAUCUCUAAGACAUCGGUGUCGAGUGCUGUCAGGGAAAAUGCAGAGCGGGCAUCUUAUACCUGCAGCCGCCGGAAACGAGCCUGCCUUCAGUGUGAGGAGAAAACCCACAGAAGGGAAUUCUUUGAGAGCAUGUAUAAAGGCCUGGUCUGGGAUGAGGACGUCAUAGAUGGAGGAGAAAGAAGCUUCAACCUCAAUAAAAGUCUGCUGAACCAUUUCAGAGAUCUGGCUUCCAGCAAUCAGGGAACUGACGAGGUGGACCUUCAGUACCUGAAUGAUGUGAUCGUAGAUGGAGCCGACCCCAACCCAACAGACAACAGUCUUUACCAGUGA